rnacentral:tRNA from 1 species
GCCCUGGUGGUGCAGUGGUUAAUGCCUGUACUGCAGCCACUCACUCAUAGACCACAAGGUUGCGAGUUCAAUACUAGCCAGGGGCU